rnacentral:misc_RNA from 1 species
GGCUUUGUUCAACUAGGUGCUUCUUAAUAUAUAAUGACAGUGAUAUGUAUCUCAAUAAAGUGUCCCUAAGUUGCAAAUCAAGCUUUAAUCAAUAUUUAUGGCUACCAAAAACAUGCAUCACAAGACUUUCAACUAAUUUCUCAUUUUACUCAUGAAUCUUCAAAUAUAUCAACUCAAUAUAUUCAAUCAACAUUCAAGGUCAUGUAUAAAAAUUAAAUUGCACAAAAGUAAAGAGUUUAAGGUUAGAGAGAUCAAAUAUAACGAUUUUUAUAGUGGUUCGGCU